rnacentral:tRNA from 1 species
GGGGAUUUAGCUCAGUUGGGAGAGCGCUUGCCUAGCAUGCAAGAAACACUGGGUUUAGUUCCCA